CCUACGGGUGGCAGCAGUGGGGAAUAUUGGACAAUGGGCGAAAGCCUGAUCCAGCCAUGCCGCGUGUGUGAAGAAGGCCUUCGGGUUGUAAAGCACUUUCAGUGGGGAAGAAAGCCUUGGGGCUAAUACCCUCGAGGAAGGACAUCACCCACAGAAGAAGCACCGGCUAACUCCGUGCCAGCAGCCGCGGUAAUACGGAGGGUGCGAGCGUUAAUCGGAAUUACUGGGCGUAAAGCGCGCGUAGGCGGUCUGAUAAGCCGGUUGUGAAAGCCCCGGGCUCAACCUGGGAACGGCAUCCGGAACUGUCAGGCUAGAGUGCAGGAGAGGAGGGUAGAAUUCCCGGUGUAGCGGUGAAAUGCGUAGAGAUCGGGAGGAAUACCAGUGGCGAAGGCGGUCUUCUGGACUGACACUGACGCUGAGGUGCGAAAGCGUGGGUAGCAAACAGGAUUAGAUACCCCUGUAGUC
rnacentral:rRNA from 1 species